rnacentral:rRNA from 1 species
UACGGAGGAUGCGAGUGUUAUCCGGAUUUAUUGGGUUUAAAGGGUGCGUAGGCGGGCUUUUAAGUCAGCGGUAAAAAUUCGGGGCUCAACCCCGUCCGGCCGUUGAAACUGGGGGCCUUGAGUGGGCGAGAAGAAGGCGGAAUGCGUGGUGUAGCGGUGAAAUGCAUAGAUAUCACGCAGAACCCCGAUUGCGAAGGCAGCCUUCCGGCGCCCUACUGACGCUGAGGCACGAAAGUGCGGGGAUCGAACAGG